rnacentral:rRNA from 1 species
CGCUGGCGGCGUGCUAUACAUGCAAGUCGAGCGGACAGAUGGGAGCUUGCUCCCUGAUGUUAGCGGCGGACGGGUGAGUAACACGUGGGUAACCUGCCUGUAAGACUGGGAUAACUCCGGGAAACCGGGGCUAAUACCGGAUGGUUGUUUGAACCGCAUGGUUCAAACAUAAAAGGUGGCUUCGGCUACCACUUACAGAUGGACCCGCGGCGCAUUAGCUAGUUGGUGAGGUAAYGGCUCACCAAGGCAACGAUGCGUAGCCGACCUGAGAGGGUGAUCGGCCACACUGGGACUGAGACACGGCCCAGACUCCUACGGGAGGCAGCAGUAGGGAAUCUUCCGCAAUGGACGAAAGUCUGACGGAGCAACGCCGCGUGAGUGAUGAAGGUUUUCGGAUCGUAAAGCUCUGUUGUUAGGGAAGAACAAGUACCGUUCGAAUAGGGCGGUACCUUGACGGUACCUAACCAGAAAGCCACGGCUAACUACGUGCCAGCAGCCGCGGUAAUACGUAGGUGGCAAGCGUUGUCCGGAAUUAUUGGGCGUAAAGGGCUCGCAGGCGGUUUCUUAAGUCUGAUGUGAAAGCCCCCGGCUCAACCGGGGAGGGUCAUUGGAAACUGGGGAACUUGAGUGCAGAAGAGGAGAGUGGAAUUCCACGUGUAGCGGUGAAAUGCGUAGAGAUGUGGAGGAACACCAGUGGCGAAGGCGACUCUCUGGUCUGUAACUGACGCUGAGGAGCGAAAGCGUGGGGAGCGAACAGGAUUAGAUACCCUGGUAGUCCACGCCGUAAACGAUGAGUGCUAAGUGUUAGGGGGUUUCCGCCCCUUAGUGCUGCAGCUAACGCAUUAAGCACUCCGCCUGGGGAGUACGGUCGCAAGACUGAAACUCAAAGGAAUUGACGGGGGCCCGCACAAGCGGUGGAGCAUGUGGUUUAAUUCAAAGCAACGCGAAGAACCUUACC